UUUUCGGUCUGUGGUCCAUCCUUUAAUAUGUCCAUGGUGUGCAUGUGAGAAAGGUUUUGGCUUUAGUGUCUUGUGUGGCAACAUGUAGUUUGUUGUCAUGGUGACUGUCAGCUGUGCGGCAGUCCCAGCCAAUCACGGUGGGAGACUAUCUAUAAAGGCGGGCGUAGAGCACCUGUCGGCCUCUUGCUUGCCGUAGGCUGGGUCACGUUGCGCCUGGGCGUCCAUUUCCGCUUACGUGCGGUGACAGGUGAGCUGCCGGUCACGGCUGCAUCUCUCUCGCAUGUUGCCCAUCCAGUACUAAUUUUAGUUAUUGUUUUGUAAAGGCUCUUGCUUGCCGGAGGCUGGGUCACGUAGCUCCUGUGCGUCUAUUUCAACUUCUGUGCAGUGAUAGGAAUCUCAGCUCCUCACCUUACUCUGCCUGGCCCGCCCAGAGACGUUGGCCCGCCAAUGAGACUCGACCGUGCGAGCGCCACAUGUGUGUGUUUGUGUGAAUACACACACUGUAACGCAAGUGUUUCUUGUCGGUUCUUUGACAUGUCUUGUAUUUCCACAACGAGACUGUUGUGGGGGUUAUGCUAUCUCAGCCAUGGUUGAGAAGGAAUUGGGAGAAAGGAACUUUGGCUUUGACUGGCUGAAGUACAUGAACUGCGUCAUGCCGCCGGUUGCCACGAGGCACCAUCGCCCGGCAGCGGGCAGCCGGCAGCAGGCAGCGCGCGGUUCAGUCGACUUCAGGUUGAUGUGAAAGUGGAAGAACCAGAGACGUCGCAGAACCCGACAAAGUCGUUUGUGAUUCAUUAUAUCGUCUGGAGGCGCACACCGCUUUUGGCCAUGAUAAUAUGUAUUAAAUGAUAUAGAUUUCUAUGUAUUAUAUGAUAUUAUUUAGAUAUAGAGCUCCAGGACUGUAUCGCAAGUGUUGUACACUUCCUUGUUAUUUGGAUAACCGUUCUGUCGGACUCUCGUCUCUGGUAUUUCUACAACGAGACUCGUAUUGGGGGUUAUCUCAGCCAAGGUUGAGAAUGAAUUGGGGGGGAAAGAACUUUGGCUUUGACUCCCUCAAGAACAUGAACCACGACAUGGAGGAGAAAGUGAUUGUUGGCGGCGAAUGUCUCCAGCUUGAGACCCGCUGAGGGACCACCGCCGGAGGCGGAGGUGGCUAAGCGCUGCCCGGGAACAAUCCCUUUCUCCUCCUUGUCGUGGUACAGUCUACUUCACAUUGAUGAGGACGUUGAAGAACCAGGAACGUCGGAGAACCCAACGCGGUCGUUUGAGAUUCAUAAUAUCGGCUCACACAUCUUUUGCCGGUUAUAAUAUAUAUUAUAUGAUAUAGAUAUCUAUGUAGGCUAUAUGAUAAUAUUUUGAUAUAGAGCUCCAGGACUCCCGUGUGUUCUAGAAUAUUUACAGAACACGGCUAAAGGCUGUGUGCGCCUCGCCAUUGCGAUACAUCCACUGUAAACAGAGCGAAUGAAACUAAGCAAUGAAAUGUUUUCUGCAUUUAUUUUGUUUUCUAAUUUUCUGUUACUUUGCAUAAAAUGUUUUUGUAAUCAAUUCUGAAUUUCUUCAGUGACACAGAUAUCGUGAUGUAUCGUAGGUGAAAUUUCUUGCAAUAUAUCGAUAAUCGCAGAAUCGCUGUAUCGUGAUAUUAUCGUUAUCGUGGGUAAAAUAUCGUGAUCGUAUCGUGGGGUACCUAGUGAUACCCAGCCCUACUGCCAUGUAUACAGUACAUUCGGAACACAUUUUAGGAACAGAUCUAUGCCGCAUAGAAAUCUAUGCGGCAUAGAUCUGCCAUGUAAACGCGGCUAGUGUUGUAAUACUGCGUGUACAAACCAGCCUGAUACAAAUAGUAGAAUUUUGAUAGCCCUUGCCCUCGUCCUAGCCAUGCAUUUGUGUGUUGACAGUCGUAGGAGUUUUGAUCGACGUAGCAACAGUAACUAAGCAAGGGGGCUUUGCGAACGUGCGCUGGGACAGCUGAUUCGCCAAACAGGCUCGCAGUCUGUGUUCUACCACAGUCACUCCCCGACGUUAUUCUCAUAUCUCUCAUGAUUCUUUUUUUUUUUUCUAAAGAUGAGUUGAUUUUGUAACGAGUAACGAAGGUUUCAAGGGAAAUGUAGCGGAGUAAAAGUAUCCGUUUUCUUCGCAAAAUGUAGCGAAGUAAAAGUAAAAGUACAGAGAAAUAUAAGUAGUAAAGUAAAGUACAAAUAUCCAAAAAAACUACUUAAGUACAGUAACUAACUAUUUCUACUUCACUACUAUACAACACUGCUUUCCAGUGCUAAUUUUAGUUAUUGUGUUGUAAAGGGCUCACUUGGAUGUUGCUGCUGGCUGCGCGCUGCUCAUCGAUACAUAGCCGAUGUCGCCUACUGAACUGUCGCUUUUGUAUAGCGUCCCGUUCCCUGCUCCAUGCCACGUUGGCCGGGACUGCCCGAUUGGGUGGCCGACAGUAGCGGCGCAGCGGCGGCCAAUCCACCUAUAAAAACCACUGCUGCUUUGCUUCCACGUUAUUACCGCCUUGCCAGGGCCAGCUCGGACCCGAUCGCUUUGCCGUUCAUUCGGCUAGCGAUAGUUUGUUCCUUUUCCUGUUGUGUCGCUAUCUCUUUUGUUUAGUUGGUGCAACUACAUCUUAAAGUGUGUAUGUUAUGUUAUGUAAGAGUUUUUGCUGAUUUCUCCUUGUGUUUAGUUAUUAUAGAUUUUGUUUAUUUAAUUAAUUUCUCUUAUUAUUAUUUUGUUUCCAUUAUGUUUUCUAACUGGUUGCUCUGCGAUCCCCCUCAAUUCAGGUGCUGAGCCUACGGUGGUGGACUGGUGUCCUGGUCACGGUGUCCCUUUUGUAUUGUGUUUGCAGUUGGUUUAUUUUUCAUUUGUUUUACGCGUGGUGUUCCUGGGACCCCCUUUCCUUUGGAUGCAGGUGUUCACAGUAGGUCUCAGCACUGAUUGGAUCUCAGCACCCAAUUUCCCUCCUUAGUGAGUAAUUAUUUAGUAGUCUUAAGAACAGACAUUUUGUAUAAAUAAAAG